GGCAGCCGUGCCCGGCACGCCUGGGGUGGGCAGCGCGGCCGCCCCCUCCGCAGCCCCAGGGACCGCCGCCGGGCCGCCCCCAAGAUGCUGUUUUGGCACACGCAGCCGGAGCACUAUAACCAGCACUCGACUGGCAGCUACCUGCGAGAUGUCCUUGCGCUGCCGAUUUUCAAGCAGGAAGAACCUCAGCUGUCUCCUGAGAAUGAUGCCAAACUGCCACCCUUUCAGUACGUCCUCUGCACAGCCACAUCACCUGCCGUGAAACUGCACGAAGAAACCCUGACCUACCUCAACCAAGGUCAGUCUUAUGAAAUCCGUCUACUUGAGAAUAGGAAAUUGGGAGAGUUUCAAGAUUUAAACACAAAAUAUGUAAAGAGCAUAAUUCGUGUAGUUUUCCACGACCGACGCCUGCAGUACACGGAGCACCAGCAGCUCGAGGGCUGGAGGUGGAGUCGGCCUGGGGACCGCAUCCUUGAUAUAGAUAUUCCGCUGUCAGUUGGUAUCUUGGAUCCCAGGGCUAGCCCAACCCAGUUGAACACUGUUGAAUUUCUCUGGGAUCCGUCAAAGAGAGCUUCAGCAUUCAUUCAGGUACAUUGCAUCAGCACAGAAUUUACUCCACGGAAACAUGGAGGAGAGAAGGGGGUGCCCUUCCGGGUACAAAUCGACACCUUUAAGCAGAAUGAAAAUGGUGAAUACACAGAACACUUGCAUUCUGCCAGCUGCCAGAUCAAAGUGUUCAAGCCUAAAGGAGCAGACAGAAAACAGAAGACUGACAGAGAAAAAAUGGAAAAGAAGACCACCCAAGAGAAGGAGAAGUAUCAGCCUUCCUAUGAGACAACUAUUCUCACAGAGUGCUCUCCCUGGCCAGAUGUGCCUUAUCAAAUGAACAAUGCUCCAUCUCCAAGCUACAACAGUUCUCCCAACAGCUUCAACCUCGGAGAUGGCAACAGUUCUCCAACUCACCAAAUGGAGCUCCUGCCUCCCAGCAAUGAUCAUCUCCUUCCUUCUGCUUCUAUUCAAGAUGCCCAGCAGUGGCUUCAUCGUAAUAGGUUCUCUCCAUUCUGUAGACUCUUCUCAAGUUUUUCGGGUGCUGACUUACUGAAGAUGUCCAAAGAAGAUUUUGUUCAAAUCUGUGGACCUGCUGAUGGAAUUCGGCUCUUUAAUGCAAUUAAAGGAAGAAAUGUAAGGCCCAAGAUGACAAUUUAUGUCUGUCAAGAACCAGAGCAAAACAGGUCCCAUCUCCACCAAAAAAGAGAAAAUGGAGAUGGCAGUCUUUGUGUAUAUCAUGCAAUCUUCUUAGAAGAAUUGACCACGCUGGAAUUAAUGGAGAAGAUUGCAAACUUGUACAGCAUUUCUCCACAGCAGAUAAAUCGGAUCUAUCGGCAGGGACCUACAGGGAUCCAUGUAUUGGUGAGCAAUGAGUGAGGAUCUAAAGUAAGAACAACCUUUAAAAUUAAAUAGAUGGUGCAAAACUUCCAAGAUGAAUCUUGUUUUGUUAUCAGCACAUUAAAAGCUGAAAGCAAUGAUGGCUACCACGUCAUUUUAAAAUGACCGUGCUACACAGAGAGACUUUGACAGCCUAAGAUUUUAGUGCCUCACUGAAAUUGCUACAACCUAGACUGGAAACAUGAAGAACCUUCUGGAUAAAUGCUCCUGUGAACUAAGAAUUACCAAACAGCUUAAGGAAAAGCUUGCUUUUACAGAUAUACAUUUUUGGUGGUGUGUGAUUUUGGUUUUGCUAUUUUUUUUUUUUUUUCUUUUAAGCUGGAGCUGAGAACAUCCUCAAAGCUUGUACAUGUUUCUUCCUCCCUCCCUUCCUCUUCAGUCUUAAAAGUCGUAGAGGUUUCUGCUUAUUACUUAGAAACAUCUGCCUUGUACUAAAGGGAAAUGAAAGAUAAACGAAUCCCAAUUCUCUAGAACCCUCAUGGUUGAACGAAUUGAUUUACUUACUGUUCUGAGUGCUCUCUUGCUUUCAAAACACACCCUGUUGCUGAUGGAUGUAGACUCCCUGGGGCUUCUCUUUUACUCCUUGAGGUGGAAGGCUUGGGGCUACAUCCAAAACCAGUUUGGGCAAUACAGAGGAUGGGUUUGGUGCCCAAUCUUCAACUAAAGUGUCAGCUCUGGAAGCCCACACUUAGCUGAUCUCCGCCUGCAGAUGUGCUCAAAGUCCAGAGACCUUGGUCCUUCCUGACAGACCUUCUGUAAUGCCAGUACAACAGAAUAAUUUUUGGGGGGUUCAAAGGAGGACAGACAACCUGAGCCAAGCAGUUCAGUAGCAUACCUCUAUCUUAGAAUAGUCUCCCUGAAUGGAGUAUAUGAAGGUUUUCUGAGGAAAUGCUUUGAACACUGAAAGUUGUAGUGCUCAUGACAAAUUCAUACUGUGGAUUUAUUCUACUCUACAAGGUAGAGAUUAGUUACUGUCUUUACUGCAACUGGGAAUUAGGUUUUAUAAUCUUAAGGAAUUUUCUUCCUAUUACUUACUAAAGUAAAACAAAUAGUUUUGAUCAAGUCCAGGUAACAGAUCAUCUUAGUUGCUGCUUCUUACAUUCUUCCUCUUUCACUCUUACUCCUGUUUCCAGUAUCUGUAGCUAUAGUCAACUCCACCCUUCCUUGGCCUUUUGGGAUGCUAUCCAGGCUCCAUUAAGCUAAAAAAUUGGCUCCCACUGAUGUCAAAGGCAAACUGGAUCACACCUUUCUUGCAUGGAUGAAACCAUUUCAUUUUUGAUAGCUAAACAAUAAGGCUGUUUCCCAAACUGAAUGUCUAUAUAGCAUCAAAAUCUGAUUCUUGAAUAUUUAAUUUUGUCCUGAAUCGACAUGGAAAACUGAAAUACCAAACAUUUUCCUGGAAUGGAAAUUUUUCAAAAAAUGAGAAAUUGUCAGCUGGAAAACACUGAAUAAAAUGUUCCAGCCUUUUGAAAUGGAAACAUUUAAUUAAAUCCAUUUGGCCCUUAAAGCAGCAUCACUUUGAGCUACUGUUGCAGCCCUCAGAAAUUAUCAUUCAAGUGCCUUGCGCGCUGUGUCCCCCUUGGGGCUGAGCUCUUUGGCUGAAUUACAGAUCCCAUGAUGCUCUUACCAUGGGUUAGUCAAACAGGGAAUGCGUCAUGAAGGCUGGAGAGGUGCCAAGGGAAAGAGGGGGCCAUGGAACCCUUGAAUUAUAGCUCCCAACUGACACUAAAGGAAUUCAAACAGACAUGGACUGAUAUUUUUCUGACAAAAAUUAUGUGUUUCAAGUUUUCCCAACAGAAAUAAACAGCAAAAUAUUGAGAAAAGCAACCUUUUUUUCAUUAAAAGCAGCAAGUUUUGUGCAAAAAACCCACCCAUCCCCACUGAUUUUUUGCUUUUUUUUUUUUUUCACCGAAAAUAAUACUAGAAUAGAAAAGUUGUGUUACAAUGGGAAAACCUUCAGCCAACUCAGCUAAUUGAGUAACAGUGCCUACUUAGGCACGAUCUUGCUCAACUGGCUGUCCUGGAUGCUCCAUGAAUUGUAGUGUUUCUCCAAAAACUAUGCCUAGGCUUUGGGACAUGGUGAUUCCUCCCUCUGAAGUAAAGGAAUUGAAGCUUCUUGGUUGAGGACCAGGUUGCACAGGUGAGGAGAAGCGCCUGGCUGUGGGCACUGGGGCUUCCAGGUGGCAGCCCCACAGUUACAGCUGCCUUCCAAAACAGUGAAUAAAUUCCAGAUGUCUCUGUGAGUAGACAGGAGCAGUGUGCCCCUGUGUACCAGGAACUGUUUGGUUUAUGUUGUAGAAAGUGCUUUUGAAGAUGUAUGUUUGCUGUGCUUUUUCAUCCUUUUCUGUAAUACUGGCCCAAUACAGGGUAAGGCUGUUAUUGGCAUGUGACUCAGGUGAACCUGACCUCAUGAGAAGGGUUUAAAAUAGACCUUGAAGUAGCCAAGAGUGCAGUCUGUAUCGUAUCCACUUAGAUGUGGUAGCCCUGUAGUUGAGGGAACACAGCAAUGCUGAAACACAGCAGAGUGAAGAAAGGGUAGAGGUAGCUUUGCUCCCAGAGUUAGAAACUGAGAUCGCUUUGCUUAUUUUAAAAAGUCUGACUUCUUGAUUCUCUAAGAAACAACUCUUUCCCCUAAGGAAUUAUAUGCAAAAGCCCUCAUAGUGUUUCAUUAACACUUGCUUGAUCAAUUUUGAACAAAAAUAAGUCUGUUAGGGCCUUGCUGUAUUUAGAUUUUUUAAAAUAAAAUAAUUUUAUACUGAUGAGGGUGAAUUUGACAAUAUCUCUUGCUUUUCUUUGUAUGCUCUAAGAAGGUAUACCAGAGCAAGCAAUCCCAUAGAAUCUAAAUACUGUCCUACUGGGUGGGCUCUGCUGUUUUAUCUGUGUUAGCCUCUUGUAAAGCUGUAUAGCUUUAAUAUGUGUAAUACUGACACUUCCUUGACAGAGUAGUUCUAGUCCUUGUUGAACCUCUGUAGUCACAGCAGAAAUUUAGGGGUCUAUGGUCAAGUAACGUACACCUCCAUGAAGACACAGCUCAGCUGGUUUGGUGUCUAGGAGACUGUUGAAUUACUGCAGCUUAGAACUGUAGAAUAUCUUGAGUUGAAAGGGACCCAUAAGCAUCACUGAGUCAAUGCCCUGCUCCAUACAGAUGUACCCAAACCUAAACCAGAUGUCUUAAGAGCGUCAUCCAGAGCAUCCUUACUUUUUGGGCUCUGGCAGGCUUUGUGCCAUGAUCAAGGGCCAGGGAAGUCCCUGGGGAGACUGUUCCAGUGACUAACCACCCUCUCAGUAAAGAACUUUUCUCCAGUGUACAAUCUGAACUUGCCCUGAUUCAACUUCCUUCCAUUCCCUCGCAUCCUGUCACUGGUCACCAGAGAGAAUAGAUCAGGACCUCCGCCUCGAGAAAGGUGCAGAAUGUAUCUCUGGUGUCAGGAAAACAUGUUGCACCCUUUGCCCUUGGUCCAUGAUGCUGUGUGACCAACUGGUUAUUUUACAGGGGCAAACUGGCCACUUGUGGCUGAGGGGGUGGUGCAUGUGGUAAGGGCAGUGUUGAUGUGAGGCUGGACUGCUGAGGAAUCUUCCCCUCUGCUUCCCAGAAUCUUAAAAAUAAACCUUGCCCUGUUGAAGCUGAGUUUGUCCAUGCAGGAACCAUGCAAAGCCUUCAGGAUUUAUGUUAGUAGCUUAUGUGAGGAAUAAGAGAGAGAGAGAUACUUGUCUCACCUGUGUAAGUGCCAGGUAAUCUCAGACCCUCCCUGUGGCUGCAGAGGGUCUGUUGCCCCUGGAAGAACUUAUUUGAAUUGUUUGUGGAUGUGACAAGCUUCAGAAGGAAGCUUUUGUUUCCUCAAGACUGGAGGAAGCACAAAUGAUUAGUCUGGGAUAGAUGUCUAAAUUCUAGACAGGUUAACGGCAAGGGAGGUGAGUAGCUCCCGCUCAUCUAAACAUCCAAAAGAGUUUUGCAUUUACUUUGCUCCUUAGUGUCUGUUACACUUAUUUUUGCUUUUUUUGUUGUUGCUCCUAUUUCUUUUUUAAAAAGCAACAAAUGAAGCUUGCUGAAAGUGAUUUAAAUGAGACUUUUUUCAGCUAUAUGUGAAAUUUGUAUGGCAGACCUCUCUAAGGACUGGGUUUUAGGAUAACAAUGAAUGAAUGAUAUGGUUUCCCAAAUUGUCCAGCUCUUCAGUUGUAUGUAUGAUGACAGCCACUAUGAGUAGAAGUGGAUUUGCUGGGAAUGAAAAGGCAAAAUCAUCACGUGAUUUAUACCAAUACUCCAGCUAGUACUGCAAAGUAUAAACCCAUGUUCUCGUCAGAUCUGUACUGUCUGUUUGAAAUGAUUUCAUGAAUUGUGGCAUUUUCUCUAUUAACUGAGUAAAUUGAUACAUAUCAGUUAGUAUGAUUCUGGUGAUGUCCUGAGAACUCAUAGAAAUGCCCAUGAUACACAACUGCAGGGCAGGGAAGGGGUGAAUAAUCUUGUGAUAAAAACUUGACCAUCUGACUGAGGUGUCAGGACCGGUGCUAUUAAAAUGAAAGCUCCUGUUCUUUCAGCUGGCCCUGCAUGGUUAAUUGACUAAAAUAGAAAUAAUCAUUCAAUCUGGAAAACACUGAAGUUCUCAUUGUCUUAGUUGAAAUUUAACGUGCUGAAGUUUAAAGACUUGGAUGGUAAAAGGAUUCUUGCAGUUGAGAAGCCCUGAAUGGCACUCUCCUUAUAGUGUAACAUAUACAUAUAUAUGCAUAUAUAUAUAUCUACAUGCAUACUGUAUCAACACAUAUCUGUGCUGAGUACAUGUGUUCUUUGGCUUUAACUGGUACUCUGCUUUGUUUAAUUGCAGUUCAAUGUAAAUGACUCUGGUUGAUCAAGCUUCAAAACCCAGCCAUUCCUUGGGUAGAAUUGUAAGAGUCCAUAAUAGAGACUCUAGGUGAUUUGGACACAGUACACUUGGAGUGAUGUAAAUUGGGUGAAUUUCUGCAACAUAAAUCCCAGGCUUUGGUAAAGAAGAGCAUCUUGUUGCACUAACGCUGCAGUUCUACAUUGCAGCUUCUGAAAAUUAGUUAGAAUAACAGAGAAAUAGAAUACCCAAUGCUUUGUGAACUAGUAAGGCUACUCCCUAAGCAGAACAACCAUAUGAUGACCUUUCCUAGCUCAAUGUUGUAUUGCUUAAGCAUUGACUGUAAUUCUAACAAUCAUCUGGUGGAUGACUGGGACAGGUUUUUUUGUCUGUAUUUGUUUUGGGUUUUUUUGACUUCUCAAAGAAAUGCUUAUAUUCAGACUAUAGCUUCUCUUUCUCCUCCAGUUAUGAAAUGGUUUAACUUUAUGGUACUAAUAGAAAUAUUUUCAUAAGAUUAUAAUCUGUUUGACAGCACAGGGUACUCAGAGUGGGGAGUGUUUGGCUUUGAUCAUCACUACUGUGGGUGAAUAUGAGAAGGUAGACUGUGUCUGACAUCCUUGCCUCUCUCUAACAAAUGGGUUGAGCUAGUGCCUAAUUUUUUGUGAAUUUUUGAUUUGUACCUUUUUUUUUUUUCUUGCCAUUCCCUCAAAAUUCUGCUCCCUGAUGGGGGAUGCAUUGGUGAGUAGAUGGUGUGUUCAUCUUCUUUAAGUAGCCUGGUGUUGUCCCAGUUUGCUUGGGGUGAGUGUUUAUCUUUCAAAGGGCUGGGGAGUUACCUCUCUUCACCGACAGUGCAGCUGUUCGAGGCAGGCGAUGCUGACCACAAGGUUGGCAUGACGGGCAAGGGCGAGUGGAGGUGGGUCGAUGGGAGGCUGAGGCGUUACCAGUUGUGAGUAAAUACUGCCACACUCUUUGUCUUUUUGUUUAGUUUUCGGGGUUUUUUUGUACAUGAAUAAAAAAUUAAAAAAAAAAAAGAAAAAGAAAAAAGCAUAUUUUGCACUGGCUCUUGUACUGUUGUGCAGAAGAAACCUGUAUCUAGAAUCUGUGCUCCAGUCAAAAUGCAAAUAAAUCUGUUUGUAAGAA